rnacentral:rRNA from 1 species
AGAGUUUGAUCAUGGCUCAGAAUCAACGCUGGCGGCGUGCCUAACACAUGCAAGUCGAACGCGGUUGCCCCGCAAGGGGUAACUGAGUGGCGAACGGGUGAGUAACACGUGGGUGACCUACCCUCGAGUGGGGGAUAACAUCCCGAAAGGGGUGCUAAUACCGCAUGACAUCCUGUCUUUGAACAGAUGGACAUUAAAGCCGGGGAUCGCAAGACCUGGCGCUCGUGGAGGGGCCCGCGCCCGAUUAGCUAGUUGGUGAGGUAACGGCUCACCAAGGCUUCGAUCGGUAUCCGGCCUGAGAGGGCGGACGGACACACUGGGACUGAGACACGGCCCAGACUCCUACGGGAGGCAGCAGUGGGGAAUUGUUCGCAAUGGGCGAAAGCCUGACGACGCAACGCCGCGUGGAGGACGAAGAUCUUCGGGUCGUAAACUCCUUUCGAUCGGGACGAAUGAUCGGCGACCUAAUACGUCGCCGGAAUGACGGUACCGAGAGAAGAAGCCCCGGCUAACUCCGUGCCAGCAGCCGCGGUAAUACGGGGGGGGCAAGCGUUGUUCGGAAUUACUGGGCGUAAAGGGCGCGUAGGCGGCCUUCUAAGUCAGACGUGAAAUCCCUCGGCUCAACCGAGGAACUGCGUCUGAUACUGGAAGGCUUGAAUCCGGGAGAGGGAUGUGGAAUUCCAGGUGUAGCGGUGAAAUGCGUAGAUAUCUGGAGGAACACCGGUGGCGAAGGCGGCAUCCUGGACCGGUAUUGACGCUGAGGCGCGAAAGCUAGGGGAGCAAACGGGAUUAGAUACCCCAGUAGUCC